rnacentral:rRNA from 1 species
GAGUGCCAGCAUCAUAUGCUGGCUGUCCGGAUGUGUAAAAUACAUCCGUUAGCAAGGGCCGGGCAAGACCGGUGCCAGCCGCCGCGGUAACACCGGCGGCCCGAGUGGUGAUCGUGAUUAUUGGGUCUAAAGGGUCCGUAGCCGGUUUGGUCAGUCCUCCGGGAAAUCUGAUAGCUCAACUAUUAGGCUUUCGGGGGAUACUGCCAGACUUGGAACCGGGAGAGGUAAGAGGUACUACAGGGGUAGGAGUGAAAUCUUGUAAUCCCUGUGGGACCACCUGUGGCGAAGGCGUCUUACCAGAACGGGUUCGACGGUGAGGGACGAAAGCUGGGGGCACGAACCGGAUUAGAUACCCGGGUAGUCCCAGCCGUAAACGAUGCUCGCUAGGUGUCAGGCAUGGCGCGACCGUGUCUGGUGCCGCA